UUUCGUCAUGAUUUCAGUGAUACUAAAAAUCCUAUAAGCAAUUUCUAAUACCUACUUACUUUCCACCCACCCUGUAUAUAUAAAGGGUUCUUCUG